UAUCUCUAAUUUGGAGAUAAAGAAGUGGAAACUUAGUGCUGGCUUCUAUCAUUGUGGUAAGAGUGAAAAUAGUGGAUACAAAUCAGAUGCCUGAGGAUCUUUAGAGAAGUAAUUGUUGAGAUGUGUUGACAGAUGGGAUAGUUUGACAGUGGAUAUUCUUACCCCCCCUUACCCCAUCUGGCCUUGCUUCUACUAAACUUUCAGGUUUCAGCUUAAAGGUCUUCUGGGAAGCUCUCCGUGACCUUCAGGCCAGAUCGGGUUCCCUGUUACAAGCUAUCAGAGAGAUCUUUCUUAGAACUUGAGAGAUAUUUAUUGCAUUCAUGUCCUCCAAACUAUGCCUGGCAUUAUGUAGGUGCUGAAUAAAUAUUCAUGGAGUAAAAACAGGAAUUAUGAAAACUGCUUAACUGUCGUUGAAUAGAUAAUGACUCUAAUAGAGACUAGUACCUGUUUAUCUAUUACACCUUUACAACUUUAAAAGGAAAAUAACUAUACUUCUGUACUUGCAUGUGUGAAAUCCCUAUCUGCUGUUGAGCUAAGAUUCUUUCCUAUUCUAAUUCUACUUUCUCCUUAAGCAAUCUUAUCCAUACUAACAUUGUUUUAUUAUCACCAUUACUCAGAUGAUUCUCAAAUUAAAAUUUUCCACCCAGAG
rnacentral:sRNA from 1 species